GCUGCGUUAAGCCCCUCGAGGGCUCAUGUUUUGUCGGCGGCCGCCCAGAGGUCGCACUGUCAGUCUGGGGACAGUAAACCCGCCUACUCCUCUACAGAGGUGGCUGGAGGAGGUGUGUCGCCCGCCUUGAAAGGCGGUGGACUUUGAUAUACUGUGUCAUUUAAAGGAGUCAUAUCAUACUUUUCAUUCUAAAAAAUAUCAGACUUUAAUGUCUCAGUAAGGUCUCUGUAAAUUUUCAUCCCAUAAAACCCUGUAGAUCGUCCACACUGCCCCUGUCAAUGUGUGGUUCUCACUCCCCAUCAGCAAACGCUGUGUUUUCUGGGCGUGUCGCAAGCGAAGCUGCUCACCACACCUCUGUGCGGAAGGGCAUACCUUUUGUGUUGUUGUUUUUUUUUUUUAAAUUGGCUCCAUGGAUACGAGCCACCGCACGGUUAUGAUACAAUAGGUGGCAGUAGUGCGACAUUGAGAAUGCAAUCCACCGCAAUCCUCCACAGAAGAAGAUGACCCACUACAGGACUGCACAACAUUAGCCAGCUGAUUCGUAGCGUUGUAGAACCAUACGUCUACGAUCCCGAAUCUGACCCUGAAGCUGAAGAGGAGGCUGUUGAAGUCGCCACAUUUCGGCUGAUGCAAGAUGUGUCUCAUUGGUAUCAUUGGACUCAAAGUUUGGUGUCUGUGAUGGGCAGCUGCCGAUCCAACCAUCCUGCCUGCAUCCAGUCCCUGGUCCUACCAUCCUGCCUGUGCUCUGUUGUUGCUUGUUGUUGCUUGUUGCUGUGCUCUUCUAUCUCUCUAUCCUCUCACCCCAACCGGUCGAGGCAGAUGGCCGCCCACAUCCAGUCUGGUUCUGCUGGAGGUUUCUUCCUCGUUAGAGAGGGAGUUUUUCCUCUCCACUGUUGCUGUCAAAUUAAAUGCUUGCUGUAUGUGGGAUUUGUUGGGUUUAGUUGUGUGAGGUUUUAAACCUUACUUUGUAAAGUGCCUUGAAAUAACUUUGCUGUGAUUUGGCGCUAUAUAAAUAAAAUUGAAUUGAAUUGAAUUGAACUUCCA
rnacentral:lncRNA from 1 species